rnacentral:pre_miRNA from 1 species
UUGAAGAAUUUAAAGACUUCAACUUGCAGACUUGAAGAAUUUGAAGACAUCAACUUGCAAACUUGAAGAAUUUGAAGACAUCAACU